rnacentral:rRNA from 1 species
UACAGAGGGUGCAAGCGUUAAUCGGAAUUACUGGGCGUAAAGCGUGCGUAGACGGUUACAUAAGUCAGAUGUGAAAGCCCCGGGCUCAACCUGGGAAUUGCAUUUGAGACUGUGUAGCUAGGGUGCGGAAGAGGGAAGCGGAAUUUCCGGUGUAGCGGUGAAAUGCGUAGAUAUCGGAAGGAACACCAGUGGCGAAAGCGGCUUCCUGGUCCAGCACCGACGCUCAGGCACGAAAGCGUGGGGAGCAAACAGG